rnacentral:rRNA from 1 species
AUCCUGGCUCAGGACGAACGCUGGCGGCGUGCCUAAUACAUGCAAGUAGAACGCUGACUACUUUAGCUUGCUAGAGUAGAAGGAGUUGCGAACGGGUGAGUAACGCGUAGGUAACCUGCCUACUAGCGGGGGAUAACUAUUGGAAACGAUAGCUAAUACCGCAUAACAGUGUUUAACACAUGUUAGAUGCUUGAAAGAUGCAAAUGCAUCACUAGUAGAUGGACCUGCGUUGUAUUAGCUAGUUGGUGGGGUAACGGCCUACCAAGGCGACGAUACAUAGCCGACCUGAGAGGGUGAUCGGCCACACUGGGACUGAGACACGGCCCAGACUCCUACGGGAGGCAGCAGUAGGGAAUCUUCGGCAAUGGGGGCAACCCUGACCGAGCAACGCCGCGUGAGUGAAGAAGGUUUUCGGAUCGUAAAGCUCUGUUGUAAGAGAAGAACGUGUGUGAGAGUGGAAAGUUCACACAGUGACGGUAACUUACCAGAAAGGGACGGCUAACUACGUGCCAGCAG